rnacentral:rRNA from 1 species
UGGGGAAUAUUGCACAAUGGGCGAAAGCCUGAUGCAGCAACGCCGCGUGAGUGAUGAAGGCCUUCGGGUUGUAAAGCUCUGUCUUUUGGGACGAUAAUGACGGUACCAAAGGAGGAAGCCACGGCUAACUACGUGCCAGCAGCCGCGGUAAUACGUAGGUGGCAAGCGUUGUCCGGAUUUACUGGGCGUAAAGGAUGCGUAGGCGGAUUUUUAAGUGAGAUGUGAAAACCCUAAGCUUAACUUGGGGACUGCAUUUCAUACUGGAAAUCUAGAGUGCGGGAGAGGAGAAUGGAAUUCCUAGUGUAGCGGUGAAAUGCGUAGAGAUUAGGAAGAACACCAGUGGCGAAGGCGAUUCUCUGGACCGUAACUGACGCUGAGGCAUGAAAGCGUGGGUAGCAAACAGGAUUA